AUCGCUUCUCGGCCUUUUGGCUAAGAUCAAAGUGUAGUAUCUGUUCUUAUCAGCUUAAUAUCUGAUACGUCCUCCAUUGGGGGACAUCGAUAUUAAACUGAUUUUUGAAAGGGGGUGAGGGUGCCCGGGGCUUGCUCCGCCCUCACCACGGGUUGACCCGGUAUUGCAGUACUUCCGGGAAUGGCCCACCACUA
rnacentral:snRNA from 1 species